ensembl:lncRNA novel transcript
CCUGGGUUCAAGUAACCCUCCCACCUCAGCUUUCUGAGUAACUGGGACUACAGUCUUCUAGUAAAAUUGAUGCUCCAAGAAGAUACACAACGUUGACCAUGUGGAUUCAGAUAUCUCCCGCUUGGAUCUCAGCCUGGAUCUUGUUGUUUGAGAAGCAUAGAUUAGCUACAGAAUGCCAUGUCAUACAUCCAAUAAAAUUCAACUCUGCAAGCAUGAGAGAGAAGAGGAAGGAAAAGAGAGAAUCUGAAGUGUGAGUGAUUCUGUUUACCAUUCCACAGAGUAAGUGGCUGCCUGGGAGUGUGUGUGAGAUGGGAGUGGGAGAGAAUCUUCUGUUCUUCCCUUGGACCUCAGUUCCACGGAGCUUUUCAGCGUGUAAAACAUCUUACCAUGGACAUUCUGGGUUUCGGUUUAAAAAGAUGUAUUUUUGGUUUGACACAGUCUCUCACUGAAACCAGCUGCUUCAGCUGACAGUCAAACUAAGAGUCAAGGAUUAACUGUACAGUUAGGGACACAGCAGCCAUGGCAAAACUUACUGAGAAAUGGCCAUCUCCCAUGUAGCAUUCUGCUAAGGGAUUUCAAGGGCAUUUUGACUUUUGACUUUUUUACCUGGCACGCUGACUUGGCGAGCUAACCCCUGUGCAAGAUGCCACUCAAGAAGCCACUCCGUUGUUUAUAAUUAAGACAGCAGGUGAGGUGGCCCUGUACUUUGAGAUUUAAACAAUAGUGACUUAAGCUCUUUCUCCUGUUUUCUGUAGGAAGUCCAGCAUGCUUACUGAGACUCCCUCCAUCCCUGGGGCUGACAGUCCCGUGGGUUUGUUCUGGCUCUAGGUGUCCACCCCCGAGGAGCUCUGAAUUCACAGUGUCGCAUGAAGGGACAGCACCCUGCUCUCCCUGUGCAAGGCACUGAGCUUCAUGUCAAACUUGGCCUCUGUGUUUUGUUCCCACCAGGCCCUUCUCCCAAGAAAUGUACACGUAGCAAACUUUACUCAAAGUGUGAGGACUCAGGAGGGAUUUUAAAAAAUCAUAAAAAUGCCGAGUUUAAAAUUAGAUCGUAUUAGUGUUGUUUUCCUUAGAAGGAAGAAAAAAAGUUUAAAAAUUAAAAAAAGAGAUAAAAUUAGAUCUUAUAUAUCUCUCUCCUGGAAAGUUCCUUAACAGCCUUGCUGUAGGGGAAAUGUCUUUCUCACCGAACACUUUUCUUGGAAGAUUCCGGCCUUCCACCUUGUUGUUUGCCUUCUCUGUCUGUAAAACAUUCAAAUUCUCUCAUUUAUCCUAGAAGGCAGUUUAGCUCUACAGCCCCUACACAGUCCUAGACCUCCUUUCUGUAUCUACUAUUAAGUACCAUUCACACCAAGGGUCACCUACUCUGAGUUUCAAUCAUUAUUAAUAAAGAAGGGAAAGUGGAGGCUUUGAAAUUCCCAUAUUUUCUUCAUGUCUCUCCACCAGUCUUUGUAAGUGAAAUAGAGGCUGAUAGAGAUUUACUUUCUCAUUGAUAUUAACUAUGCUUCUCCUCUUAGAAGACAGAGGCAUCUGUAGUCAGUGUCAAAUAUUUCCCACCCUACCAUAUAUAUAUAUGAAAUACAUGGAUUAUGUUCUAUGGACAAUUGGGUAUCUUGUUUGUUUUAGUUACUAUUGCUGUAUAACAAAUCAUUCCAAACUUACAGGUUAAUCAACAACAAUUUAUUAUGCCCACAGAUUCUGCAGAUCAGGGAUUUGAGAGGAUCAUGGUGGAAUCACUUGUUUCUGUUCCAUGAUGUCUGGGGCCUCAAAUGGGGAGAUACAGAGGUUGGGGAUGGCUUCGUGGGUGAGGGCUAGAAUUAUUAAGAGGGUUAUCACUUACAUGCCUGGCAGUUGAUGUAAGUCAUCAGCUGAGAUGUCAGCUGGGGACAUCCACUGAAAUACCUACUCAUGGCCUGUCCAUGUGGUGCCUUAGGCCUCGUCACAGCAUGGUGGCUGGGUCCCAAGAGUGAGCAUCUCAAGAGAGCAAGGUGAAAGUGCAUGACAUUUUAAUGAGUCAGCCUUGAAAGUCACAUAAUGUUAGUUCUGCACUAUUCUUGGUCAAGGCAGACACUGAGAUCUGCCCAGCUUCAAGGGGACGUGGCAAAGACCCCAUCAUUUGAUAGGAGGAUCGUCGAGGUCACAUUGUAGUGAAAGCCUGUGAGACGAGUGGUGAUGUUUCUGCCAUGUUGGAAAAUGCAAUCUGCUACACUGCUCUUUUCAUUUAACAUAUCAUACCAUUAAAAUAAUCCAUCAACUCUGUGAAUACAUCCAUAGAACUUAUUCAUUUACUAGUUCCUUAGUAUAGGACUUUUCUCAUCACUUCCCCAUAAGAGAGAAGAAGGAGGUAUGGUUAUUUUCCUUCCCUAAAACCAAGAGAGAGAGGCCCAAAGAGAAUUAUUUGACAAGUGGGAUUCCUAUUCCUGCAGUGUCGACUCCAUUAAUUUGGGGUCUGUUAUCUUUCCUUUGAUGGUUUUUGAGUCUUGGACCAGCAGGAGCACCUGAGGCUGCUUAGGACAUGGAUAUAGGGGUCUGUGGCUUCUCAGGUGUGUCAAGGACACAUACAUUUCUCCUGGGUCGAGGGAACACCUUAGGAAGUGGGACUUGAGCUGUUCUGCCAUUAUUCCCCAAGUGGGUUUCCCACUGGAUGAGAUACCCCUGGUAGAAGGAAAGUGUGGGGAAGACUGUGGUUGGGGAGGAAAAGGAAAGGAAGCAGCUGGAGCCCUAGCCAGGCCACCCAUGUAGGUGAAUAUGCAGGGGAUGGCCCUACGACAUUCUCCAAAGAACCCAAUGGAUGAGCCCCAUGAAGGAGCCACACAGCAGGAGUCAAAGCUCAGUCUGCAUUAUCCAGGA